rnacentral:lncRNA from 1 species
AAUCCUCUGAGGCUGAAACAAAGACAUGGAACCUUCUGAGAUGGAAAGAGCCAAAGUGAGUUGUUGUGGGAAAGGAAAAUUAAAGAUGCAGGGAAACAUUUAAGCAAGAGGUGCUGAAAAGAAUUGGAGUUUCUGAUUUUAAGUCUCCAACUUAAAAUCCUCUUUGGAUUGUCACUGGUCCAAUUUUCAUGGACUGGUCAUAGUGGCCAGGAGUGCCCAAUCCUGCUGGAAAUGCACUGGACCAGGAUGUCAUUUUCACUUUAUACAGCACAGGAGCCGUUCCCCUGCCCAGAGGAGCAGCCAGUGCCUCCCUUAGUCCACAAAUCCCCAGGACUGACCACAGAGGAAAUAACAGGAAUGUGGAAAUCCCCCACACUGGGAGUUGGUGGUGCUCUGGAUUACAUUUUGGAUUUAUACUGUUAAAGGGGGGCUGUGGAAUGGCUUCUCUCCUUUUUAUUGUCACUGUUGUCACUGCUUUUGUUGCUAUCACUGUUAUAUGCUGUCAUCAAUAUUAAAUUAUUAUAUUUGUCUUGGUUUCCAUUAUUAAAGUGUUCUGAGCUGGAUU